rnacentral:rRNA from 1 species
AACGCGAAGAACCUUACCCUUCAAUACUCGGAACCUCCCAUGAAUGGUGAGGUGCCUUUGGGAAGCCAGAACACGGGUCCGGCAGGGCUUUGGUCAGCUCGUGUCGUGAGAUGUGGGGUUAAGUCCCGCAACGAGCCCAACCCUUGCCUUUAUUUGCCAUCAUUUAGUUGGGCACUUUAGGGAGACUGCCGGUGACAAACGGGAGGAAGGCGGGGAGGACGUCAAGUCCUCAUGGCCCUUAUGGCUAGGGCUCCACACGUCAUACAAUGGUCGGUACAAAGGGUUGCCAACCCGGGAGGGGGAGCCAAUCCCAAAAACCCGUUCGUAGUCCGGAUGGCAGUCUGCAACUCGCCUCCGUGAAGUGGGA